UACAGAGGGGGCAAGCGUUGUUCGGAAUUACUGGGCGUAAAGGGCGCGUAGGCGGCCUGCUAAGUCGAACGUGAAAUCCCCGGGCUCAACCCGGGAACUGCGUCCGAUACUGGCAGGCUUGAAUCCGGGAGAGGGAUGUGGAAUUCCAGGUGUAGCGGUGAAAUGCGUAGAUAUCUGGAGGAACACCGGUGGCGAAGGCGGCAUCCUGGACCGGCAUUGACGCUGAGGAGCGAAAGCGUGGGGAGCGAACAGG
rnacentral:rRNA from 1 species